rnacentral:rRNA from 1 species
CACGUAGGGCGCGAGCGUUGUCCGGAAUUAUUGGGCGUAAAGAGCUCGUAGGCGGCCUGUUGCGUCCGCUGUGAAAGCCCGGGGCUUAACCCCGGGUCGGCAGUGGAUACGGGCAGGCUAGAGGUAGGUAGGGGAGAAUGGAAUUCCCGGUGUAGCGGUGAAAUGCGCAGAUAUCGGGAGGAACACCGGUGGCGAAGGCGGUUCUCUGGGCCUUACCUGACGCUGAGGAGCGAAAGCAUGGGGGAGCGAACAGG